rnacentral:rRNA from 1 species
UGCAGUCGAGCGAAUCGAUGGGAGCUUGCUCCCUGAGAUUAGCGGCGGACGGGUGAGUAACACGUGGGCAACCUGCCUAUAAGACUGGGAUAACUUCGGGAAACCGGAGCUAAUACCGGAUACGUUCUUUUCUCGCAUGAGAGAAGAUGGAAAGACGGUUUACGCUGUCACUUAUAGAUGGGCCCGCGGCGCAUUAGCUAGUUGGUGAGGUAAUGGCUCACCAAGGCGACGAUGCGUAGCCGACCUGAGAGGGUGAUCGGCCACACUGGGACUGAGACACGGCCCAGACUCCUACGGGAGGCAGCAGUAGGGAAUCUUCCGCAAUGGACGAAAGUCUGACGGAGCAACGCCGCGUGAACGAAGAAGGCCUUCGGGUCGUAAAGUUCUGUUGUUAGGGAAGAACAAGUACCAGAGUAACUGCUGGUACCUUGACGGUACCUAACCAGAAAGCCACGGCUAACUACGUGCCAGCAGCCGCGGUAAUACGUAGGUGGCAAGCGUUGUCCGGAAUUAUUGGGCGUAAAGCGCGCGCAGGUGGUUCCUUAAGUCUGAUGUGAAAGCCCACGGCUCAACCGUGGAGGGUCAUUGGAAACUGGGGAACUUGAGUGCAGAAGAGGAAAGUGGAAUUCCAAGUGUAGCGGUGAAAUGCGUAGAGAUUUGGAGGAACACCAGUGGCGAAGGCGACUUUCUGGUCUGUAACUGACACUGAG